CUGAUGCAGCCAUGCCGCGUGUAUGAAGAAGGCCUUCGGGUUGUAAAGUACUUUCAGUCGUGAGGAAGGUGGUGUCGUUAAUAGCGGCGUCAUUUGACGUUAGCGACAGAAGAAGCACCGGCUAACUCCGUGCCAGCAGCCGCGGUAAUACGGAGGGUGCGAGCGUUAAUCGGAAUUACUGGGCGUAAAGCGCAUGCAGGUGGUUUGUUAAGUCAGAUGUGAAAGCCCGGGGCUCAACCUCGGAAUAGCAUUUGAAACUGGCAGACUAGAGUACUGUAGAGGGGGGUAGAAUUUCAGGUGUAGCGGUGAAAUGCGUAGAGAUCUGAAGGAAUACCGGUGGCGAAGGCGGCCCCCUGGACAGAUACUGACACUCAGAUGCGAAAGCGUGGGGAGCAAACAGGAUUAGAUACCCUGGUAGUCCACGCCGUAAACGAUGUCUACUUGGAGGUUGUGGCCUUGAGCCGUGGCUUUCGGAGCUAACGCGUUAAGUAGACCGCCUGGGGAGUACGGUCGCAAGAUUAAAACUCAAAUGAAUUGACGGGGGCCCGCACAAGCGGUGGAGCAUGUGGUUUAAUUCGAUGCAACGCGAAGAACCUUACCUACUCUUGACAUCCAGAGAACUUUCCAGAGAUGGAUUGGUGCCUUCGGGAACUCUGAGACAGGUGCUGCAUGGCUGUCGUCAGCUCGUGUUGUGAAAUGUUGGGUUAAGUCCCGCAACGAGCGCAACCCUUAUCCUUGUUUGCCAGCGAGUAAUGUCGGGAACUCCAGGGAGACUGCCGGUGAUAAACCGGAGGAAGGUGGGGACGACGUCAAGUCAUCAUGGCCCUUACGAGUAGGGCUACACACGUGCUACAAUGGCGCAUACAGAGGGC
rnacentral:rRNA from 1 species